UGUUACAUUUAAAAUUAAAAUAUACAUAAGUAUAUAGGUAUAUAUUACAUGGCAGGAUUUACUUAAAAUAUUCUAGCCGAGAGCAAAUUCUUACUUCGUCCUCAGUACUUCCAUUUAAGAUACUUUACAUAAUCGCAUGAAUAUUGUAAAUGUAUUUUACAUGUGGAUGAAUACUGUGGGCUUAACUGAAAACUAUCGCUAAAUAUAAAUUUUUACUGUACAAUUUACGAGUAUGUAAAAAUAAUUAUUGAGAAAAUUUUUCGUCAUAAUUUUGGUUUUUAUUAAAAAACUUUGCAACUUAAAUUGUGGACCAACUAAAGACAGUAAAAUGUAUCGAUUUUUAUCGGUAGGGGUGCAGUAGUACGGGUGUAACACGACCUAUAUAAAUCUAUGUACUAGGUUGUGCCUGAAGUGAGUUAAGUUAUGGGUGAUCGUGUCGAUCGCGACUCUCAGGGGACGAUAGCCGGAAGCUGAGAAAUAUAGAAGAUUAAAAAGGGCUUCGAGGGUUGUUUUUAUAUUUGAAAUAUAUAUAUGAAUUAAGGGAGAGAGCCAUUAUACAAACAGUGGAUAGUAAAAAUAAAAAAAAAUUACACGCGCAUGUAAUUGACUCGUACUGUACACGGAGAAAUUAUUCUCGUUUAAAAUGAUAGUCAUAGUAAAUCUAGACCAUGUUGGCCACCUGCAGAAAUUGAAGAAAACACAUGCGAAAAUUACUAUGAUCAAGUGUGAGGUCUUUCGGUUCUGAGAUUCGUCUUGUCACCGACCUUAAGAAUUUAAUCCGGUUCAAAAAUUAAAAAAUUGAAUUUGAAUUUGAAUUCGACUAAUGCCCAAAUAUGGGAUUGCCUAAGACCUAAUAAUAUAUACAUAUUUUUAAGAAAAAUAAAAUUGUAGCAUUUUAAAAGAGAAUUUCUAUGUAUGUUUUGAAAUGGAGCAGCCAAAAUGGCCUAGUAUAAAAAACCAAUGGUUUUUUAUUUAAAGCCGUAAGAUGGACGGUGGCGUCUAAAGGUUCACCUAAAGUUUACAAAUCCAGUGAUAUUCAUGCUUGUAAACUUUGCUACUUGAAAUUGGUUAUUUGUCAGUUUUCUGGCAUCUCGCCUAUAAGUGUCUGGGAAGUGUCUUUCAGAACACUUUCGAUGCACUUUCGGAUACAUUCGGAUACUUUCGGAACACUUUCGAGCACAUUCGAGCAGAUAGAUACCUGUCAAAAACUUGUCAAAAACACAAAUUUCACAUGAGAAAAAAUUUCAAAUAAUAAUAAUAUAAUUUUUUUUCACUUCAAAUGCGUAAAAAAUAAUUUUUUAAAUGGCAACUUUAAGAAAAGGCUGAAAACUGAGUAGUUUACUUCAAUUAUUGAAAGCAUUAAAUCGGAAAAAAAUGUAUUUUAUUUUUAAUAAAACAGUAAAAUAUAUUUUCUGAAUAAUGCAUACUGAACAGAAAAUAAAAUAUAAAAUGUGUGAUAAAAGAAGUCAUAAAAAAAGUAUACAACAUAAAAGUUAUUAUUAAAGUUUAUGAAAAAUAAGUUUAAAGUGUGAGGACCAAUUUAAGUUCAUUUGGUAAAGUUUAAGUACAUCUCAAUGCACAAUUGCAAAAGUUUUUAUGCAGAUAAAAUAGUAAUAAUAAUAAUGAAGUAUAAAAUUCACAAAAGCGCGCUGAAGAAAAUAUUCAAAUAAAACUUUUUUUUAUUGACAAUAAUGCAUUUAUUUUUCCACACUGAUAAAUUAUUCUUUGUAUGUAAAGUAAAUAAGCGAAGAAAAAUUAUUUAUAUAAAAAGUUUGUUAUUCAUAGAGCAUAAAAAAUUUCAAAUUUUUCUUUCACUUAUCAAAAGCUUGCAAUAACUUUUCGUUAAAAAAAAGUCUAAGAGAUAAAUUAUAGGAAUUAAUUGCAAAUGAAGAUACAAAUGGCAGAGUACAGUGAGAUAAAAGGAACUACUCAGAGCUCUCGUGAGUAUUGUUACUGCUUAUUUUAUUUUUAUUCCAUGUGCGAGUGUGUUAUUGUAAGUAAAACAUGCGAGGCAAGAUAAAUUAGAGAAAUAGAUGACGGCAGUGGAAAGAGAUUUCCGUGUACGUUAAAUCCGAGACAAGCUCCGGAAAUGCGUUUAUCUGAAGAGAGCUUUCACGGUAGUUUAAGAUAUGAAUUAGUACUGUAAAUUCACGCUUGGUUAUAAAUAUUAAAUGCUAAGAGUAAUAUAAAGAAAAAUCAAAAUCAGAAGUCCGUUUUAAAAAUUUUAAUUAAAUAAAUUCACAACAUUCUAUUUAUGAAUCAACAAAAAUAAAAUAAUGGAGUUUUAGAUCGAUGUAGCGCACUCUGUUAGUACGAGCGAUAAGAAUGAUAAUAAAACUUUUAAAAAAGAAAAACGACGGUUAAGUUGUGCACCUGACUGAAGAACAAAUUUUGUCUGACAUCCAACGCUAUAACUUAUAAUCAAACUGAGAGUUAGAAGUACAUGGAAAUAAAGUGAAGAUGCCAAAAGGCGAAUGCUCUUGAUGAGAUUGGUUGUAAUAUGGCUGCCUGCCAAAGUACUAGUUACAUCAAUCCUUUAUGUACAUCCACAUAUACAUAUAUAUCCAUAACAUAAAUGGAAUGUACAUCGGAAUCCUCUCAACAGUCAUAUCCUAGAAGACAAUAGUUAACCUGCUUCGGGUAUCGUGAAUGGGCUCAAGGCAAUCCCAGAGAAGUAAACUUGACGCCUCUGAUUUUCUACCCAACAAUGAGAAUCAUCCUCGUUAGCACAUCAGGUUGAUCACAAAGGCAAGAGCAUAAAUCACCAAAGAGCGUCGACGAAAAUUUUUUUUUUAAAUAUUUUUUCUUUUAAACAUAAACAACUGGUGUGAUAUUUAGGGAAACAUAAUGUAAAUUAUAAUUUAAAUGUACUUAAGGCCAUUUUUACACAGUGCCCCCCCUCCACUUUUUUCAAAUAUUCAAUGAAUUAAUUGUAAUGCCUGCGGAGUUACAAUUUUGCUGUAAGAUUAUUUAAAAAAAAAUUAUUUACAGUUGACAUC